rnacentral:rRNA from 1 species
CGAAGCUACGAAUCGAAGCCCCAGUAAACGGCGGCCGUAACUAUAACGGUCCUAAGGUAGCGAAAUUCCUUGUCGGGUAAGUUCCGACCCGCACGAAAGGCGUAACGAUUUGGGCACUGUCUCAACGAGAGACUCGGUGAAAUCAUAGUACCUGUGAAGAUGCAGGUUACCCGCGACAGGACGGAAAGACCCCGUGGAGCUUUACUGUAGCCUGAUAUUGAAAUUCGGCACAGCUUGUACAGGAUAGGUAGGAGCCUUUGAAACGUGAGCGCUAGCUUACGUGGAGGCGCUGGUGGGAUACUACCCUAGCUGUGUUGGCUUUCUAACCCGCACCACUUAUCGUGGUGGGAGACAGUGUCAGGCGGGCAGUUUGACUGGGGCGG